AUCCCUUUUGUAGAUCCACCUUUGUGUAAUAUUUUGCACUACCAAGUCUAUCAAAUAAAUCAGCAAUCAAAGGAAUAGGAUACUUGUUUUUAAUUGUUACCUUGUUGAGCGCCCGGUAAUCUACACACAUGCGUAACGAUCCAUCAUGCUUCUUUUGGAACAAGACCGGAGCGCCAUAAGGUGCCUUCGAAGGUCGUAUCCUCCCCGUGUCAAGCAACUCCGUCAAUUGCUUUCGAAGUUCUUCCAGCUCCGGCGGUGCCAUCCGAUAGGGUGCCAUGGAUGGUGGUUUGGCACCCGGUUCCAACUCAAUCUUAUGAUCCACCUCCCUCCUAGGUGGUAAUUUCUUGGGUAACUCCGGCGGCAUCACGUCCUUAUUUUCUUCAAGGACAUUCUUGAUGACUUCGGGCACAUUAUCGUCACCCACAACUUCCUCAACUUGGUCCUCCAUUUUUAAUGCUGCCAAAUACGUCGCCUCUCCUUUCUUUAGCCCUUUUGCUAGUUGCAUGGCCGAAAGCUGCCCUAUUGCUUUCGUCCUAGCUACCGUAGGAACCAUGCAUGGAGAACCCCUCUCCAAGAUGCAAACCGAGCCAAAGGAAGGCAUAGGAAUAGCAUUGACCUUCCUCAUGAAGUCCAACCCGAGAACCAAGCGAAAAUCAUCCAUUGUAGCCACCGAAAAAUCCACUUGGCCAUGCCAAGUGCCUAAUUGAAUUUCCACUCCUCGAACUAUGCCACCAAGGGGCGUGGAUGGAGAAUUCACAGCUUUCAUAAGACCACCACCUUUAGUGAUUGUGAGGCCCAACCUUCUAGCCUCAUCUUCAGUAAUGAAGUUGUUGGUAGCUCCCGUAUCCACCAUUGCUAGUGCGGGCCGACUAUUUACUUGAGCUUCCACAUACAUUAAU
rnacentral:lncRNA from 1 species